GCUGGCAGGGAGCGCGGCGCCGCCGCCCCCCGCCCGGCCUUGCCGGCACGACACGGCCUCGGCCGGCCGCAGAGCGGAGCCUGCGGCGGGGCGAGGGGCGCUCGGCGGCCGCAGGGCCGGGCGGCGCGGGGCGAUGCUAACGACGCACCCGAACGGCGGGCGAGGCGGGCCGGCCGCCCUUCCCCGGCACCGCCGCGGGGAGCGGCUCCGCAGCGUUGCGGUGUCGCCGCGGCCGCGCGGGAGCGGCGCUGGGCGCGGGGGACGCGGCGCCCGUACCCGAGAGCGGCCGGGUCGGCAGCGGGGCCCGGGGCCCUCCUGGCCGGGCGGCUCCUGUCCCGCCGGCCCGUGUGGCAAAGACUACCAAACUGAUGUGGAGAGAUCUGUGACUAUGAGAGUAGCAGCCUCAUGCAGAUACCUGCAAAAGGAGACAUAUCUUGCAUCUUUUUACUCUACUGGCCUUACUGAGCCCAAAGCAGCUGAGCUGACUAAAGCAGUUUAAAAGUCAACCUACCUCAAGUGCUUCUUCAGCCUUUCAUAUAAAAAGUUACAUUGCUUCCAAUUUCUACAAUCAAAUCAAAAUAAACGAGAAAUAUCCCUGAAA